rnacentral:misc_RNA from 1 species
GAUCAAAGCCUUCCUACAAAUCUAAAAGCUUAUGUUGCAAAUGGCAACAAGAAAGUUAAUGGACAUAAAACUUAAGAGCCAAUUUUGAAGAAUUUGGACCUGUUCGUUGUGGAUCAAGAUCUCCCACUUUCCCUUUUUUCCCCUCUCUUUCUCGCUGCCCACCCUUGUUGAGCCACCAGAAUCCUGGGGCUUAACAUAAACACAUUUUUUAUGCGAAACCACGAUACACAAAUUUAAAGAAGACUAG